rnacentral:rRNA from 1 species
UACGUAGGGGGCAAGCGUUGUCCGGAUUUAUUGGGCGUAAAGAGCGUGUAGGCGGCCAGACAGGUCAGCUGUGAAAACUCGAGGCUCAACCUCGAGACGUCGGUUGAAACCGUCUGGCUAGAGUCCGGAAGAGGAGAGUGGAAUUCCCGGUGUAGCGGUGAAAUGCGCAGAUAUCGGGAAGAACACCCGUGGCGAAGGCGGCUCUCUGGGACGGUACUGACGCUGAGACGCGAAAGCGUGGGGAGCGAACGAGG